AUGAAAAUCAUUCAUUAUGAUAUC
rnacentral:miRNA from 1 species